rnacentral:rRNA from 1 species
GACGAACGCUGGCGGCGUGCUUAACACAUGCAAGUCGAACGGAAAGGCCCUGCUUUUGUGGGGUGCUCGAGUGGCGAACGGGUGAGUAACACGUGAGUAACCUGCCCUUGACUUUGGGAUAACUUCAGGAAACUGGGGCUAAUACCGGAUAGGAGCUCCUGCUGCAUGGUGGGGGUUGGAAAGUUUCGGCGGUUGGGGAUGGACUCGCGGCUUAUCAGCUUGUUGGUGGGGUAGUGGCUUACCAAGGCUUUGACGGGUAGCCGGCCUGAGAGGGUGACCGGCCACGUUGGGACUGAGAUACGGCCCAGACUCCUACGGGAGGCAGCAGUGGGGAAUAUUGCACAAUGGGCGGAAGCCUGAUGCAGCAACGCCGCGUGCGGGAUAACGGCCUUCGGGUUGUAAACCGCUUUCGCCUGUGACGAAGCGUGAGUGACGGUAAUGGGUAAAGAAGCACCGGCUAACUACGUG